GCGAGCAGAUCGAGUCAUAGAUGUCGCUGCCCGUGAAUAGAAAGAGUGAGCGAAGAGAGGAGAGAGUCGCUGUGAGAGAAACCCCCGAUACGCCAGCGCUGAUGCCUCAGGACGGGUUGCGCAAGGGGUGCUUAGGUUCUCGCAGGGAAAAGCUGAUGGUCGGGCGUUCGGGAAUUUCUCGUCGUCGAUCAACAUCAUCGACGUUCUGCGCCGUAACGCUCUACCACCGUCGAUGCUCUGAAUGCCGUGCAUUGGGACAUCGUACACUGGUGAGGUAGCCACAACAGACCCGCAAAGCGCCAUGGGCAGGACUCCACGCUGCAACACCAUCGGUAAGAAACCCUCCAGGUUGUUCUCUUUCCCCCCCUCUCUGCAUAGCACUUGCCGUUCUUAAUUUGGGACAACAUGAGGGCCGGAACAAGGCAUGCCAGCGUGGCGCCGCAGCUCUGGGCAAGCGUCGCUACGGCUCGGAUCGGAGGAAGAGGAAAGCAUGUCGGUCGUUGAUUCCAAAUGGGAUGGAUGUGAUUAGAAUGCUGUGUACACCUUCACCUAUUUAAAUAUGUGUUGUGGGUUGUUGAUUGGGCAGAUCAAAUAAGAUUCAGGCAUGGGUGAUUUCGGAUCGUCGAUCCGAGAUCCAAGGGUGAAUAUAGCGUACUUGUUCGGCGGUGGUCGGUUCUAAUCAUGGCCGCUAAUUUCAGAUCUAUUGGUCGAGCGUUCACGUGCGCUAUAGCUGCGAGGAAGUUUUAUCAAAGAACCCCUUGAAUUUGCCAUAAUCCUCCUAUCGCUCGCGUAGACACGAGAAUCAUAACAAACCGAUCCCGAAUCAUGUAAAAAGACCCCUAAACUCAUGAGAAUCUAACCCAUAGUCCACGGGAUUUUCUAGUUAAUAUAAAUCAUAUAUGGUAAUGAAUUUUUAGUAUAAAAAUAAUUUAGAAAACUUAGAAAUUCAUAUCUUAUUCAUUUUAAUUCUGUUUAUCGAACAUACGAAUUCAUGACGACGCGUAGAAUAUUAUUACACAGAUUGUUUCCUUGUUUGGUGUAAUGUUAUUUUUAUUUUGUUCUUUGUCUAUCUGUACGUAUUUAUGAGAUAUAAAGCCUAACUUGGAGAAGUACCUGGAGUUACACCAAAAAGGCAAGUUGUGUCAUUGAUCACAUUGUUUGACCUAAUAAUAUUAAACUUUAUGUUCUCACCCUACUUGCACAGCUAGGUUAAAUUGAUGGGACCUAAUAGAUUACCUAGUUUUGUUUAGCCUACACCUUGCAUUAAAAUAAAUUAUUGGAUAGUCUUGUUGUUGCUCCCCUGGUUUUGGGAUUAAUGUUACAUAUGAAUUAUGAUAAUUCCUUAUUACUAUUGUUGGCUUUAUUAUUAUGCAUGAUAAGGUCAUUUUGUUAAUUGGAACAUGGAGCGACCAGCCGAGACAACAGUGCUACCACAAGGGUGGAAUAGAACGCUAUUGGCUGAUUAAUUAUGGAAGCUAGUGAGGGAUAACCUUACGCGAAAAGGGACAAGCGGAGAGCGAAUCACUGCAAAGUAUAUAGGGAGGUUCUCGAGUCAAUUUGUCUAUGAAAGAUUUUCGGAUGAGGGAUUCCUGUACUUCCUUUUGCCUGAAACCGAAGCGGUUUUUCGAAUGCUAGUGGAACUUUAUAAAGACCUCGUAGUGUGCUCUCGUCAACUCACCUCGGAAGUGUUCAAGGGUUCGUACAACCCGAGGAAAAAAGAGAACACGACUUGUAGGUAAAGAUGUACAACCUCUGCAGAGUGUAAAACUAAUAUAUCAGUUGUGCUCACGGUUAUAA